AUACGUAGGUGACAAGCGUUAUCCGGAUUUACUGGGCGUAAAGGGCGUGUAGGCGGUCUUGCAAGUCAGAAGUGAAAUUCCUGAGCUCAACUCGGGCGCUGCUUCUGAAACUGCAGGACUUGAGUGCUGGAGGGGAUAGCGGAAUUCCUAGUGGAGCGGUAAAAUGCGCAGAUAUUAGGAAGAACACCGGUGGCGAAGGCGGCUAUCUGGACAGUAACGGACGCUGAGGCGCGAAAGCGUGGGGAGCAAACAGGAUUAGAUACCCUAGUAGUCCACGCCGUAAACGAUGAAUGCUAGGUGUAGGGGGUAUCGACUCCCUCUGUGCCGCAGUUAACACAAUAAGUAUUCCGCCUGGGGAGUACGGCCGCAAGGUUGAAACUCAAAGGAAUUGACGGGG
rnacentral:rRNA from 1 species